CCGACUUUAGCUCAGUUGGAAGAGCAUCAGACUGUAAUUGGCUUACAAAAUUGACAUCUGGGUGUCGCCUGUUCGAACCAGGCAAGUCGGA